UUGCUGUAUGUGAACAAAUUUUGUAGCCUAAAACACGCAUGACAUCGCUUAGAACACCUUUAAUAAUGAUUUUUAUUUGUUUUCCUAUUAAAUCUAUCCUA